UACGAAGGGGGCUAGCGUUGCUCGGAAUUACUGGGCGUAAAGCGCAUGUAGGCGGCUUUCUAAGUCGGGGGUGAAAUCCUGGAGCUCAACUCCAGAACUGCCUUCGAUACUGGAGAGCUCGAGUCCGGGAGAGGUGAGUGGAACUGCGAGUGUAGAGGUGAAAUUCGUAGAUAUUCGCAAGAACACCAGUGGCGAAGGCGGCUCACUGGCCCGAUACUGACGCUGAGGCACGAAAGCGUGGGGAGCAAACAGG
rnacentral:rRNA from 1 species